AUGGAACCAUGAGGGUGGAACCAUGAUGAUGGAUCCAUGAGGAUGGAACCAUGAGGGUGGAUCCAUGAGGGUGGUACCAUGAGGGUGGAACCAUGAUGAUGGAACCAUGAGGGUGGUACCAAGGGAAUGGAACCAUGAUGAUGGAUCCAUGAGGAUGGAACAAUGGGGAUGGAUCCAUGAGGCAGCCUGAGGUUAGAUCUUCAACACUACUGACCAAACACCAUCACUCUGGCCCUAGCAUGUGUGUGUUAACGUGUUUUAACGUGUGUGUGUGUGUGUGUGUGUGUGUGUGUGUGUGUGUGUGUGUGUGUGUGUGUGUGUGUGUGUGUGGUAUCGUGGUGUGAAAAAUAAUUGUUACUUUUUUUGCAAUUUAAAACGAUUAAAAGUUGCCGGGGACAACAUUUCCCUGGACCCUAGGCUACUGAAAAUGUUCCCGGACCCUAGGCUACUGAAAAUGUUCCCGGACCCUAGGCUACUGAAAAUGUUCCCUGACCCUAGGCUACUGAAAAUGUUCCCGGACCCUCGGCUACUGAAAAUGUUCCCAGACCCUAGGCUACUGAAAAUGUUCCCAGACCCUAGGCUACUGAAAAUGUUCCCAGACCCUCGGCUACUGAAAAGGUUCCCAGACCCUAGGCUACUGAAAAUGUUCCCAGACCCUAGGCUACUGAAAAUGUUCCCAGACCCUCGGCUACUGAAAAGGUUCCCAGACCCUAGGCUACUGAAAAUGUUCCCAGACCCUAGGCUACUGAAAAGGCUACUGAAAAUGUUCCCAGACCCUCGGCUACUGAAAAUGUUCCCUGACCCUAGGCUACUGAAAAUGUUCCCGGACCCUAGGCUACUGAAAAUGUUCCCCGGACCCUCCCGAUUUACAAAUUAAUCAGUGUGUGUGUGUGUGUGUGUGUGUGUGUGUGUGUGUGUGUGUGUGUGUGUGUGUGUGUGUGUGUGUGUGUGUGUGUGUGUGUGUGUGUGUGUGUGUGUGUGUGUGUGUGUUUGUCUAAGAAACAACUUCCUGCUAUGAAAAAGGGUGAAAGGUCACAAACCACGGUUUGGGCAGAUUAGAAGUGUUGGGUCCUUCCUGGUAUGAAAAAGGGUGAAAGGUCACAAACCCGGGUUUGGGCAGAAUAGAAGCGUUGGUUUCUAUUAUUGAUGUUACUAUGUGGACCGGACUGGGUCUGUGUUUUUAUUUUAUUUACCACAACUAGAACCCGUGGAACCGUCUAGACGUGUUGUUUCCUUGUGAUGAGAUUGCUGUGGAACAGGAUUAUUAUUAUUAUUGUUAUUGUUAUUAUUAUUAUGCAUCUGAUCAUCUAUUACUCUAAAUGACGACGAGCAAUAAAGUUGAGAUCCUUUUUUCAAAUAUAUAUAUUGCAUGUUUUACUAAAAAACGUUGGUCUUAGUCAAUAAAAAGAGUUUUUAAGACA
ensembl:lncRNA